rnacentral:rRNA from 1 species
GACGAACGCUGGCGGCGUGCUUAACACAUGCAAGUCGAACGGAAAGGCCCUGCUUUUGUGGGGUGCUCGAGUGGCGAACGGGUGAGUAACACGUGAGUAACCUGCCCUUGACUUUGGGAUAACUUCAGGAAACUGGGGCUAAUACCGGAUAGGAGCUCCUGCUGCACGGUGGGGGUUGGAAAGUUGCGGCGGUUGGGGAUGGACUCGCGGCUUAUCAGCUUGUUGGUGAGGUAGUGGCUUACCAAGGCUUUGACGGUUAGCCGGCCUGAGCGGGUGACCGGCCUCAGUGUGGCGAAGAUACGCCCCAGACUCCUAAGGGAGGCAGCAGUGGGGAAUGUUGCACAAUGGGCGGAGGCCAGAAGCAGCAACCCCGAGUCCGGGAUCACGGAAUGUGGGUGGGAAACCGCCUUCGACUGUGACGAAGCGUGGGGGACGGUAAUGUGCAAUGAAGAAACGGCUAACUGCAUG